rnacentral:rRNA from 1 species
CUACGGGCGGCUGCAGUGAGGAAUAUUGCACAACGGGGGGAACCCUGAUGCAGCAACGCCGCGUGGAGGAUGACGCAUUUCGGUGUGUAAACUCCUUUUAUAUGUCAAGAAAAUGACGGUAGCAUAUGAAUAAGCACCGGCUAACUCCGUGCCAGCAGCCGCGGUAAUACGGAGGGUGCAAGCGUUACUCGGAAUCCCUGGGCGUAAAGGACGCGUAGGCGGGUUGGAAAGUCAGGUGUGAAAUCCUACAGCUUAACUGUAGAACUGCACUUGAAACUUCUAAUCUAGAGUAUGGGAGGGGGAGAUGGAAUUAGAGGUGUAGGGGUAAAAUCCGUAGAUAUCACUAGGAAUACCUAAAGCGAAGGCGAUCUCCUGGAACAUUACUGACGCUAAGGCGUGAAAGCGUGGGGAGCAAACAGGAUUAGAUACCCUUGUAGUC